CUGACCCCCGGCCGCCCCCACCUCCGCAGGUGCGCCCUGACCCCGACCGUUCCCUCCUCAGGUGCUCACUGACCCCCAACCGUCCCCUCCCCAGGUGCGCACUGACCCCCGGCCGCCCCCUCCCAAGGUGUGCAUCGACCCCCGGCUGCCCCCGCCGCAGGUGCGCAGACUCCGCGACUGCUGCCUCUCCAGGUGUGCACUGACCCCUGGACUGCCCCGUCUCCAGGUGGCCGUCUCCUACUGCCACCUCCCCAGAUUUGCCAAGUUAUUUCUGAUUUAACCUAAACCAACUCUUCAGCCGCGCCGUCUCAGGGACCCCAAGCCCCGCUCUGGUGGACGCCUGGAGCCGCCGCCUCCCGAGAGUCCACACCCCAUCUUGACUCAAGCCUGCCCUGGACAGGAAGAAGCUGAGGUCUGGAGGUCUUCUAAAGGAGCACAGUCCAGAGAGCCACAGAAGGCUGCCUUGAGGAGUGGAACUGCUUCAGGGAUAAAUGCAAAGUGUCCCCUGUCGGGACAAAAACCUCUCAGAGGAGGUUAAGGCCCACGGGCCAUUCUUGAGCUGCUAGAACAAAUUUCCUAAGAUGAUUGAAUAGCAGGAAACAGAGACCAAAGGAAUUGAGUUGAACACAGAGAAUGAAAUGAAGGAACUUCACUGCCCAGCGUAGGAAAAACUGAAUACCAGAGAGUGAAGUUGUCCCCAUGUACAGAAUCACUUACGGAAUCAUACAAAAUAUCUGCAAAAUAUCUUCCUCAGAACUGGCCUUGACAGCCUUACAUGUGUGAUGGAAGAAGACCGUCCUCUGAUAGCACCGGAAGUGGCCUUCUUUUUCAUGCUGGCACUGCGCAUCCCAGCUUUCCCACACGUGCCCAGCGUGAUUGUGUCAACCAAGGGAGGUCGACCCAGCCUGUCCAUUGGCCCUCCUCUGCAGCACUCCAACCCCAACAAGCCACUAACAACCACUGCUCUGUUUACAUCUCUGUAGUUUUGCCGUUUCCAGGAUGUCAUAUAAGUGACAUCAAACAGUAUGUGAUCUCUUCAGAUUGGCUGCUUUCAUUAAGGAAUAUGCAUUUAAGAGUCAACAUAUCUUGGCAUGGUCUAUUCCCCAUGUGCUUAGGGAAUUAGCAAAAAAAAUGUAGACACUUUGUAGCCUAUUUUAAAUGGUUAUCAUAUUUGUGUGCAUAGAAACAAGUUUUACAUAUUAAAUUAUGAGCUGAGCAAGGCAGAUUUAGCUUAAUAAUUUGGAAAUGGGAAAUGAUGGCUUCUACCCUUUUUUGCAGCUGUCAUAAUUGUCCAUUAUUAUAUCUCUGGCCAAAAACAUUUUUAUGUCAUUAUCUGUUUUUAAUUUAUUAAUAAUUUCUUAAACU